AGAGUUUGAUCAUGGCUCAAUUGAACGCUGGCGGAAUGCUUUACACAUGCAAGUCGAGCGGCAGCGCGGGGCAACCUGGCGGCGAGCGGCGAACGGGUGAGUAAUGCAUCGGAACAUGUCCAUGUGUGGGGGAUAGCCCGGCGAAAGCCGGAUUAAUACCGCAUAAGCCCGAGAGGGGAAAGCCGGGGACCGCAAGGCCUGGCGCGAUUGGGUUGGCCGAUGUCCGAUUAGCUAGUUGGCGGGGUAAGAGCCCACCAAGGCGAUGAUCGGUAGCUGGUCUGAGAGGAUGAUCAGCCACACUGGGACUGAGACACGGCCCAGACUCCUACGGGAGGCAGCAGUGGGGAAUUUUGGACAAUGGGGGAAACCCUGAUCCAGCCAUUCCGCGUGAGUGAAGAAGGCCUUCGGGUUGUAAAGCUCUUUUGUCCGGAACGAAACGGUUACGGCUAAUACCUGUGACUACUGACGGUACCGGAAGAAUAAGCACCGGCUAACUACGUGCCAGCAGCCGCGGUAAUACGUAGGGUGCGAGCGUUAAUCGGAAUUACUGGGCGUAAAGCGUGCGCAGGCGGUUUUGUAAGCCAGAUGUGAAAUCCCCGGGCUUAACCUGGGAAUGGCAUUUGGGACUGCAAGGCUUGAGUGCGGCAGAGGAGACUGGAAUUCCUGGUGUAGCAGUGAAAUGCGUAGAUAUCAGGAGGAACACCGAUGGCGAAGGCAGGUCUCUGGGCUGACACUGACGCUCAUGCACGAAAGCGUGGGGGAGCAAACAGGAUUAGAUACCCUGGUAGUCCACGCCCUAAACGAUGUCGACUGGUUGUUGGGGGUUUGACACUCUCAGUAACGAAGCUAACGCGUGAAGUUGACCAAUCACUA
rnacentral:rRNA from 1 species